GAAACUGGAAGGAACUUCUUUUGAAGGGCCAAUUCCUUCAACACUAUCAAAUUUGACUAAAUUGACUAGCCUAACCAUAUGCGAUCUACCUAAUGGCGGCACAUCACUUCCAGUCUUAGCAGACCUGAAGAAUCUCACAACAUUAGUUCUAAGAAACAAUAAUAUCUCUGGACAAAUUCCUGAAUACAUUGGAGAAUUGGUUGAACUACGGACGCUG